rnacentral:snRNA from 1 species
GAAUGUGAGGGCAAUCUGGCUGCGACAUCUGUCACCCCAUUGAUCGCCAGGGUUGAUUCAGCUGAUCUGGCUGGCUAGGCGGGUGUCCCGUUCCUCCCUCACUGCUCCAUGUGUGUCCCUCCCGAAGCUGCGCACUCGGUGGAAGAGGACAACGUCCCAGGUAUAGAAGGAGUGUACCAAGGUCUCCAGUCUUUGGUCCCGGGUAUACGAUAGCUGCGCUCCCCUGCUAGAACCUCCAAACAAGGUCAAGGUUUUUUUAAUUUGUGAUUUUCCACUUUGUAAGGAUCCUAUGGAAGGAGCCCCCAAUGGUGUAGU